rnacentral:lncRNA from 1 species
GGACUCAAUAACAAAUAUGAGAAGGAAAGUUUACCGAAGAUAGCUCUUCCGACCAAGCAAAAUACUGUAUAUAUUGCAUUAAAACUAAAAAUGAAGACUACAAAGAAGGAGAAAAAGUCAUGUGGAUUCCGAAGAAGGAGAACCCAAGUACCAAUAAUGGAUUUUCAUCCGCAAAACAAGAUGAAAAAAGGCUUCGUUUUGAGUAAAGCAGAAUUUGGGUCAACGACGUUAGUAGGCCUUUGCCGCGAAGCAGAACUAAGGGUUCGGAAAGAAAGAGGAGAGAGAAAGCGAGCCAUGGAUUCCAGCAUCUCCGUUAGAUCCAUAUCUGGUGACGCCACCGAUCUUCCUCCUCCAUCGUUUUCGUCGCCGAUAAUGGACCCAUCGUAAGUAGAGCUGGACGGCGGCCAAAAAAUAUAGGAAAAAGAUAGAGAGGGUUGAGGGAAAAAAAAAGAAAGAGUUGACGGAGAGAUGGUUGAGGGAAAAUUUGA